rnacentral:rRNA from 1 species
UACGAAGGGUGCAAGCGUUAAUCGGAAUUACUGGGCGUAAAGCGCGCGUAGGUGGUUCAGUAAGUUGGAUGUGAAAUCCCCGGGCUCAACCUGGGAUCUGCAUCCAAAACUGCUGAGCUAGAGUACGGUAGAGGGUGGUGGAAUUUCCUGUGUAGCGGUGAAAUGCGUAGAUAUAGGAAGGAACACCAGUGGCGAAGGCGACCACCUGGACUGAUACUGACACUGAGGUGCGAAAGCGUGGGGAGCAAACAGG